AGCAGCCGCGGUAAUUCCAGCUCCAAUAGCGUAUAUUAAAGUUGUUGCAGUUAAAAAGCUCGUAGUUGAAUUUCGGGAUCAAUAUGUUGGUCGUGCCUCGGUACGUACUAGCAUAUUGGUUUCUCCUUUCUGAAGAACCAUGAUGUCAUUUAUUUGGUGUCGUGGGGAAUCAGGACUGUUGCUUUGAAAAAAUUAGAGUGUUUAAAGCAGGCUCACGCUUGAAUACAUUAGCAUGGAAUAAUGAAAUAGGACGUUUGAUUCUAUUUUGUUGGUUUCUAGGAUCGACGUAAUGAUUAAUAGGGAUAGUUGGGGGCAUUAGUAUUCAAUUGUCAGAGGUGAAAUUCUUGGAUUUAUUGAAGACUAACUACUGCGAAAGCAUUUGCCAAGGAUGUUUUCAUUAAUCAAGAACGAAAGUUAGGGGAUCGAAGACGAUCAGAUACCGUCGUAGUCUUAACCAUAAACUAUGCCGACUAGGGAUCGGAUGAUGUUAAUUUUUUAAUGACUCAUUC
rnacentral:misc_RNA from 1 species